AAUGAAUGAGCUCACAUGGUCAACUAUAAAUUCAAUUGCGUCUUUGCAAUUUCAUGGCGUUGGUAUUGCGUUCAUCCUAACUUGAGUCAUCGAUCGAUCACUUUAAGUUGAAAUGAGUUCUCAUCAACUCAGUGUUAGGAUAGUGAUAGUACCUAAGUUGAUUUAUGUGGAACUAGGGAUGAAUAGAUAAGCUCACAGGGUCAACUAGAAAUCUAAUUGAGUCUUUGCAAUUGGAUGACAUUGGUAUUGUAUUCAUCCCAAUCCGAGUCGUUGAUCGAUCACUCUGAGUUGAAAUGAGUUCUCAUCAACUUAAUGUUAGGAUAGUGAUAGUACCUAAGUUGAUUUAUGUGGAACUAGGGAUGAAUAGAUAAGCUCACAGGGUC
rnacentral:lncRNA from 1 species